UGUAAAAUCUGUGAUUUUAUGUCUUUCUAUUUUAUCAGCCAAUUUUUCAGCUUGAACCCCAGAAAGACACUUGAUGAAGGAUUAGUAUUUAGAAAUGACCAACGAGAACAGAAUUUUCUGUAAGGCAUUAUUUGAUACGAGUACUCAUGUUUGACUAAUUUCACAUUUGGGAGCCCAUUUUUUUCCAUAGCUAAGGUUGGCAAUUCUCUGGGAAGAGUUAAUUGAAUUUCUCUCUGAUGAGCUAGCAUUCAGAAGGAAUAAUUACUAUAAGUUUUACCCUUUCAAUGGAUGAAGUAUUUGGUUGGAGUUAUCUUGUGUUUUGUGCCAGCAAGAUUCUUAAUGAUUCCUCUUCUAUUUUGGGUAACAGGAAAACAGAGAUGUCAACUGUAUAUUUCCUUAUGCUCAUCAGUGCUGUGUCUCUUUCAGGAACUACCAAACAUUUUCCCCCCAAGAAAGCAGAAAUGAUUCCUUUGCUUAUAUUAUAUUCUGGGUUACAGUCAGAGUGAAUCUUCACAGAAUAAACCACAAUUAUAUCAUGGUGUGCCCUUAAAAGAUGCACUUGUUAGUUUAACUGCUUCUUUUUUGGGGCACAUUAUUGCUUGGUUAUACUUUCAUAUGCAACAGUCUUUAUUCUUGUGAUUAGGAUCUGAGAUAUUGGAGUCUUAAAAAGACUUGGGAAUGAUGCCAUGUUGCACCAUUCUGGUCCUGCCAGGUUAUAUGAAUGUCUUUAUAAUGAUCAUCACCAUGAUUUUUUCCUAAUAGCCAGAAGAAAUGUUUCAGGAUUUGUCGCUGUAUCUGUAUAUACAUAUGCACAGAUGUACUGGAUUUACUUUGAGAGAGGUUAUUUGGUUGUGGCAAGUGAGUAGUUUAGCUGGUGAGUGAGUAUUCGCAGUUAAAAGUAGCUGAAAUGACUUCUGGCAGAUGUCAUUGAUUUCUUGUGGGAUGGAUUUUUCUACUUCAUCUUCAUGUAUGUCCUUGGCCAUUGAAAACAAAGCUUAUUCAAUUUCUGUAGCCAAGGUGUUUUUUUUCCCCAUUCUUUUUAUUUUUCUUAAGAGAUAAAGUUCAUGGAAAUCUGUUUCAGUAUUUACAAGAGUAUUUUCCAGAACUUGUUUAGCUGUUCUCAAGUUCAUGAGUUGGCACAGAUGACAUUUCUAAUGAUCAACCAGUUGCAGAAAUUUAUUCAAAAGAAUAGAGUUACAGGCUAGACAGGAGAUAGCGCAAAUUGCCUGUUAUUUGCAGGUGGCCAUUGUGGACCAAAAAGGCCACAGAUGACAUUAACAUCAGGGAAUGCUGGUGGACAGAAACAAUAUAUUCAGUUGUAGAGGUGAAACAGCACAUACUAAAGUGGACAGGGAAAAUACUUCUCAUUCACUUUGCGGACACAACAGGCCUACGAUGAGAUGGUCAGCUUAGUUAUCCAAGGAGCUGCUCAGCUCAUUGUUUUAUUAGCACAGAGGGAAAUCCACAGGCUUCAUUUCUCAAACACCACUUUGGACAAAGCAGGAGGAAGUAAACAGCCUCAUCUCCACGGUGGCAGCAUUGUAGAUAAUGAGCAAAUCAGGCAGGUAGAAGUCUACAAAAGGCUACAGUUGUCCAAUUUGCAGUAAGAACACAUAUAUGCAAACCUUAUCUUAAUACAUUUGUUUUUCUUUAUAUGGAGUGCAAAAAAGUGGUCUAUAAAUAAAGGUGAAUUACGUGAUUCAAAAAAUGAGCAUUUAAAAAAAACCCACAGGCACAAUAUGUAGGAUGAAAAGAAUAUGAUAGUCUCUCACAUCUUGUCAGCAAAAGAAUAACAGAGUGAAUACAGCAAAGGGUAGAUGAUUUACAUGAAUAGCACACUCCUAUAUUUCCUCUGUAAACAGUUUUUUUUUUAAGUCAUAUUGUAUCCUAGUCUUAGUGUGUUAUAUACAGCUCUCCCCAGGACAAAAAGAAUUCCCCCCAAAUGAGAGAAGAAGCAUCGAAAUAAUCUAUGAACAAUAAAUUUCAAUACUGGAUACAACCAAUGGCCAUUUUCUCCUCGCCUUCCUAUGUUCAGACAGCAAGCUCCUAUUAACAGUCCCACCUAGAGCAUAUGUGACACAUAAAUACUUGGUAUGACUCAUUUCAAUUUUGAUAUAACACCUGAAAUGCAGAAAAUAUUGGUAUUGUAGAUCAUGCAUGUUAGACAAUUAUCAAGAUUUAAAAAAAUUACCAAAGAUCACAUUACAUUCAAAAUAACUAACCUGAAGGUAAGAAAACAUACUAAUACAUUUUUAUAAAUAUUUGCUUUUGGACAUACACAAAAAGAAAGAUUUCUGGUUAACCUUGACUUCCCAGAAUGUCCCACUUAUGCCAUCGAUUCAAAAUAGUAGGUUCAAUUUGCAUUUUACUAUAUGUAAUAUGGUUGGUCUGUGGCAUGAAACCCCAAUAAUCAAAACAGACAUAACAAGAAAAGCAUUCAAGAUAAACAUAUAACAGUUGUGACCAUGCUCUGUUUCUUGUCAGAAAAUAGAACAACUCAAAUUAAAAUUUCUCAUGUUUACUUGGUGAACAUGGAAGAGCACUGUCACAUUUUAAUUGUUGAAUAAUCUCCAGAUGCUAAAUUCAAACUCCCUUCUUUUAUUAUUGGGUUUAAGAAAUAUUUUCAAUUUCUUGCUUUCAAAAAGUAUUUCCCAUUUGUAUUUUAAAAACUGAGUUGUGUUAAAAACAUCCAAAUCAUAUGUUUAAAAAGUAUCAAGGACAAACAUCAUGUUCAACCCAAUACACAUUAUGGAGGUAAAACAUGGUGUAGGUGAAUUCAGUGUAUGCAGGAAAAUUAUUUUGCAACUUCUUUUGUUGAAAGAAAGCAGGGCAUCUCAAAUGAAGUGCUAAUGUGUGAAUCUGUGUCACAGAUACAUGUGAAGAAGAAACUACAAACAUGAUUUCAAUGAGAAAGUAACUUAGGGUAGAUAUCAUUAUGUAAAAAGCACUGUCACGAAUAGGCUUCUAUGUUAUUCAACAAUUUCAUGGUGUAUUGCUGCUUCUGUUUCUAAAAACUGUUCUGUAUGAUGUAAGAAGUAACAAAGCAAGAAAGGUAUUGUAGAAAUACAGAAUUCAGUUCUAGCACCAAACAAAAAUCAAACAUCACAUUAGGCAUUGUUGCUUAGAAAUUUUAAUUUGAGAGUACGACGGCCAAAUGAGCAGGCCUGAUUGAUCUAAUGUGAGCCUUUUGUCUACAAUUCUCUUAAGUCUUGGCUUCACCUCCCUCUAACCCUUGCAAACAAAUCUGAAUUCUUUCACCUCUCCCACUUUAAUUAAUAAGCUAAUUGUUGCACCACUCUUCUCCUAGAGAGGAGUGAGGGCCCAAUGUGGGCAGGGGUCUAUUCUCAAGGGAUUGUCCACUCACUCAUAACUCAAAAUUGUGAGUUCAUAGAGACCUGGGGUUUGAACUCUGGGCCUCUCACUCUUACUUGGCCUUUUUGCUCAAGGCUUGUGCUCUAUCACUUGAGCCACACCUCCACUUCUGCAUCUCUCCUAUUUUAAUACAGGAAGCACCUGUUCCAGCCACAUUCUAGGAGGGAGUAUUGUCUGUGGUCCACCUAUCUGCGUGGGUCUUGCUGCAAUGAAUGCAGGUAUUCUCCAUGGAUGCCCUAUAUGGGUGCUAAUAUGUGACUCAAGCAGCCCGUGAGUGACAGGGGGUGGAUUGCAUUCUGGUGAAGGCAUCUGACACAAAUGGGUACUUAGCCAAAAGAGAGAGCUUUAGACUAAAUCUCUAAUCAUUAAUAGCAAUCUGAUUGGUAAUUUGAUGAUAAUUUCUACUUUAGAUAGCAUUCUUAAUAGGUGUCAAUUAGAAACUGAAAAAUGUGCCUUAUUAAAAAAAUCAUUAUGAAUUCCAAGUAUAGCAGCUGUAAUUACCAUUCUCAGGCAAGGCUGUCUCCUUAUGCCAGGCUGCUUAUACAGUCAAACUGAUUUGGAAGAAAUCAGACUCUUUUGCUAAAUCAGACUCUUUAGCUGUAGUAUGAAAGCUUAGGCAUUAUAUUUUCCCUGCUUAUGUACAGAAUCUGCAAAAUACAUAUACAUAAAAAUACCAUAAACCACCACCACCAUCACCACCAACAAUAACAACAAAAACAAGAGGUACUGUAGCUUGACUGCUAAGGGGACUUGAGUCCAUAAAGAAAACAUAUCAGACACUCUUUUCUGGUUUGUCAGGAGAAUGAGUUCAGAGAAGAUUUCCAACAUCUAACAGUCUGAUCUUCUAAAUGGUGCUCUGUCCCUACAAUGAAUCCAGGAGGGAAAGUCUCCCCAGGGCCCUGGCUCAUUCAUUCCCCUUUUCCACACCACUCCACGUUGCAAAGACUGCUGGGUAGCUCCGCCCAGUGCCAUGGAGGAAAGCUCUGUGGUCCUGGGACCAACCUGUCUCCUAGAGAGGAGUGAGGACUGAGCUCUGGCAGGUUGUCCAUUUUCUAGACACUGUCCACACACCACUCAAACCAUGGGUUCAUAAAGACCUCUUCGGCUGGGUUUGAAAGUUGAGAGUUGAUGGUAUUUCUCUUAAAAUAAAUAUUUUCAGAAAUUAUUUUUUUUCUCCAGGUUCUAAAUGUUAGCAAUGAUUCUAGACACAAGGAAGAAAUUAGUCUGCCCGUAAGGCAGCAUAUGUUCAAUUUGGUGUUGUCCAGAUUUGCUAUUAGAUGCUACGAAACUAAAUCAAAAGAGAAACACAAAUUUUCUGUGGUUUACAGCAAGAUUAAAUAUACUAUGCUUAUUACUAAUGAAGGUUUCCUUUUAUCAAUAUGAUGGGAAGAUACACAACAAAACAAAACAGUGUUUGGUAAUCUGCUAUUUGUAAUUCCUUACCAGGACCUUACUAACUAAGUUUCAGGAGAGUAUUACUUUACACCUGUUCAACAUAAAAUUUAUUAUCUGUAAUUUGAUGACUUUUCAGGAAUCCAGUUUCAUAUUUUUUCUCAAGAGCAAGAAAAUGUAAAUUUAAUUUGAUCAGAAUCACAGAGAAAAGAUGUAUAUGUAUAAAUCUAUAUUUGAUACAGAUGGUAUUCAUAUUUGAAAACUUGGCUAAUCUUCCUAAUUCAAUCUUCUUAUGUUUAUUCAGAGCUAUAACAAGUUUUAUAUAAAAAAGCAUUUCCUGCAGAUGUUAACAAAUGCUAAUUCAUAUUUGUUACAUAUGCAUUUUAGGUGCUUUCAUUUAAGAUUACAUCUCUUAGGAAUAGGUCCGUUUUGUUUCAAUGCUUUGCAUUAUGAUUCUUAUGCUCUAUUUAAAUUUUCUGUGGCAACAACGUUCUUAUUUCAAUAGGGCUAGAAAUUAUAACAGUGUUUUUGCUGAUAGUGUUUUUUUCCCCAAUAUAAAGCAGAGACUUCAAUGGAAAUACUAUUAUGUGAUAAACAGAGGCAGUAAUACAAAAUGAUCAUGUAUAUUAGUCAUGUUAUUCUUAUAUG